UACAGAGGGGGCAAGCGUUAUUCGGAAUUACUGGGCGUAAAGGGAGCGUAGGCGGACAUUUAAGUCAGGGGUGAAAUCCCAGAGCUCAACUCUGGAACUGCCUUUGAUACUGGGUGUCUUGAGUGUGAGAGAGGUAUGUGGAACUCCGAGUGUAGAGGUGAAAUUCGUAGAUAUUCGGAAGAACACCAGUGGCGAAGGCGACAUACUGGCUCAUUACUGACGCUGAGGCUCGAAAGCGUGGGGAGCAAACAGG
rnacentral:rRNA from 1 species